rnacentral:tRNA from 1 species
GUCCCUGUAGCGCAAUGGAUAGCGCGUUGGACUUCUAAUCCAAAGGUUGUGAGUUCGUAUCCCAUUUGGGAUG